UAUAUCUGAAAAUCACCCAUGACUCUAGUGAUGGCCAUGGGUGAGAUUUAGUGUCCGGAGUCAGGAGGGCCUAAACUCAAUGCCCACUUUCCAUUCUGGGGAGGUGAAAUCCAGGCCCAUACAUGC